rnacentral:rRNA from 1 species
GUGCCAGCAGCCGCUGGUAAUUCCAGCUCCAAUAGCGUAUAUUAAAGUUGUUGUGGUUAAAAAGCUCGUAGUUGAACCUUGGGCCUGGCUGGCCGGUCCGCCUCACCGCGUGCACUGGUCCGGCCGGGCCUUUCCCUCUGUGGAACCCCAUACCCUUCACUGGGCGUGGCGGGGAAACAGGACAUUUACUUUGAAAAAAUUAGAGUGCUCCAGGCAGGCCUAUGCUCGAAUACAUUAGCAUGGAAUAAUAAAAUAGGACGCGCGGUUCUAUUUUGUUGGUUUAUAGGACCGCCGUAAUGAUUAAUAGGGACAGUCGGGGGCAUCAGUAUUCAACUGUCAGAGGUGAAAUUCUUGGAUCAGUUGAAGACUAACUACUGCGAAAGCAUUUGCCAAGGAUGUUUUCAUUAAUCAGGAACGAAAGUUAGGGGAUCGAAGACGAUCAGAUACCGUCGUAGUCUUAACCAUAAACUAUGCCGACUAGGGAUCGGACGGUGUUAUUCAUGACCCGUUCGGCACCUUACGAGAAAUCAAAGUGCUUGGGCUCCAGGGGGAGUAUGGUCGCAAGGCUGAAACUUAAAGAAAUUGACGGAAGGGCACCACCAGGGGUGGAGCCUGCGGCUUAAUUUUGACUCAACACGGGGAAACUCACCAGGUCCAGACACAAUAAGGAUUGACCGAUUGAGAGCUCUUUUCUUGAUUUUGUGGGUGGUGUGCAUGGCCGUUCUUAGUUGGUGGGGGUGACUUGUCUGCUUAAUUGCGAUACGAACGAGACCUUAACCUGCUAAAUAGCCCGCAUUGCUCCGGGCAGUGCGCUG